rnacentral:rRNA from 1 species
ACGUAGGUGGCAAGCGUUAUCCGGAAUUACUGGGCGUAAAGCGCACGCAGGCGGUCUUUUAAGUUUGACGUGAAAGCUCCCGGCUUAACUGGGAGAGGUCGUUGAAUACUGGAAGACUUGAGGAAAUGAGAGGGGUGUAGAAUUCCUGGUGUAGUGGUGGAAUGCGUAGAUAUCAGGAGGAAUACCAGUGGCGAAAGCGGCGCUCUGGGCCGGAACUGACGCUGAGGAGCGAAAGCGUGGGUAGCAAACAGGA